ensembl:lncRNA
UUCCCUUCUCUCUCCCGUUCUAUCUUUGCACUCUAAUUCUCGUUCUUUCCCUCUCUCACCCACAAAUACAUCCACACCUACACUUUUGGCCCUCCUCCCACCUCCAAGACGUCUACCCACACUCCAACCUGUUCCCUAACACGCCUUGUACCAUCACUUAAAUCCUCCACUGAACGGUCUUCCAUUGUUUUUCCAUAUCCUUCCAUCCAGCCACUUGUCUCUUUGAGUUGUUUUUUUAUCCAGAAUUGACAAUUUUCCAUCCUAACAUCUCUCUCCCAUGCGCCUAGUGUUCAAAGUCAUCCCCUCUCUCUCUCUCUUUGUCAGACUAGGAUGAGCCGUUGGAAAUGGCUGGUGGAUUAACAGGCUACUCUCAUGUUUCUCCCUGGCUUUGAGGCCUGACAACCCAGAGAGUGUGUGUGUGUGUGUGUGUGUUUGUGUGUGUGUGUAGGUUGUAGUUGGAGAAAGACUGACAGGCAGAUAAGAAUAGAUUAGCAUCCAAGCUCAUCAGCCCCCUACUUCCCCUCAGCCCCCUUGUUCCCUCCUUUCUUUCACCCUCCCUCCCUCUCUCUCCUCCUCAUCUCUUCUAUAUCUUUCCCCCAUCACAUGCUGCCCAACAUAGCCUGGUAGCGAUGUUUAAAACAGAACACUGCCUCAUCUCCAUACAGCCAGUGGUUCUUCACAGAACGCCUAUCCAUUGUUAACAUCCACCCACCCAGGGACAUCAAUCCGACCUCGACUGUAUGUUCAGGACUGACUAAGUACCCACAAUAGUUGUAGGUUCCAGCGACCCCCACAACCGCACUUUAGCUGGGGACGUAUAAAAAGGCCUCAUGUGCUCCUCAUGCGCGGAUACGGGGAAGGAGGCAUGAUGAUGGAACAUACCGGAGGGCUGCCGGGGGCUCUGUGUUUGCUUUUGUGUCCCCACCUCCGCUGCUCUGUAAACACCUUGACCACAGCCUUUAAGUUAUGUGUUAAAGAAAAGAGUGUCUUAGACUUGUAAAGGAGGAGGGAGCAGAAGCAGGCGGCCAAAACAGCCUACCAUGACCGGCUAAGACAGCCGAAGGCAGAGCAGAGCGUUGCGUGGCAGAGAACCCAGAGGAUUGGCUCACUGCUCAUCCUCCCUCAUCUACACAUCUCCAAGGCAACAGUUUAUCACACCUUUUUGCAAGACACAGUGUUCGCGAAGCUUGGAUGAAACCAACAGACAGAGACGAUUGAAAGUACGUCCCUCUGUCGGCCUCUCAUCUUCUUCUCAACGCACUUUUUUUUUGUGAAUCCUCACACACUAAUACCUGACAUUUUUUUAACGGACGGAGGUCAUUCUAUGCUUCAAGCCCAGUUGGGUAGUGAGCAAUAGCUUAGUGCCUCAACAUAUUUAUUUGAGGCGUUAUUUCCUUGUAUUGAAAAAGCAAGGGAUUUCCCUGAAAGACGUUGCAUCGACUUCUCUAAAUCCACACAGAGUUCCGGCUUGGACUGCCACACAAUAACACUGUUCACCUCGC